rnacentral:rRNA from 1 species
ACGUAGGGGGCAAGCGUUGAUCGGAAUCACUGGGCUUAAAGAGCGUGUAGGCGGAGCGGCAAGUGCUUUGUGAAAUCCCCGGGCUCAAUCCGGGAAUUGCAGGGCAUACUGCCGUUCUCGAGGCAGGUAGAGGUCACUGGAACCUGAGGUGUAGCGGUGAAAUGCGUAGAUAUCUAACGGAACGCCGGUGGCGAAAGCGGGUGACUGGGCCUGUCCUGACGCUGAGACGCGAGAGCGUAGGGAGCAAACAG